UUUUAUUUGAGAGUUUGAUCCUGGCUCAGGAUGAACGCUGGCGGCGUGCCUAACACAUGCAAGUUGAGCGAUUUACUUUGGUAAAGAGCGGCGGACGGGUGAGUAACGCGUGGGUAACCUACCCUGUACACACGGAUAACAUACCGAAAGGUAUGCUAAUACGGGAUAAUAUAUUUGAGAGGCAUCUCUUGAAUAUCAAAGGUGAGCCAGUACAGGAUGGACCCGCGUCUGAUUAGCUAGUUGGUAAGGUAACGGCUUACCAAGGCGACGAUCAGUAGCCGACCUGAGAGGGUGAUCGGCCACAUUGGAACUGAGACACGGUCCAAACUCCUACGGGAGGCAGCAGUGGGGAAUAUUGCACAAUGGGCGAAAGCCUGAUGCAGCAACGCCGCGUGAGUGAUGAAGGCCUUCGGGUCGUAAAACUCUGUCCUCAAGGAAGAUAAUGACGGUACUUGAGGAGGAAGCCCCGGCUAACUACGUGCCAGCAGCCGCGGUAAUACGUAGGGGGCUAGCGUUAUCCGGAUUUACUGGGCGUAAAGGGUGCGUAGGCGGUCUUUCAAGUCA
rnacentral:rRNA from 1 species